CAAACGACUCUCGGCAACGGAUAUCUCGGCUCACGCAUCGAUGAAGAACGUAGCAAAAUGCGAUACUUGGUGUGAAUUGCAGAAUCCCGUGAACCAUCGAGUUUUUGAACGCAAGUUGCGCCCGAAGCCUUUUGGUUGAGGGC
rnacentral:rRNA from 1 species